rnacentral:rRNA from 1 species
ACUCCUACGGGAGGCAGCAGUGGGGAAUAUUGCACAAUGGGGAAACCCUGAUGCAGCCAUGCCGCGUGUGUGAAGAAGGCCUCGGUUGUAAAGCACUUUCAGUAGGGAGGAAGGUAGUGUAGUUAACACCUGCACUAUUUGACGUUACCUACAGAAGAAGCACCGGCUAACUCCGUGCCAGCAGCCGCGGUAAUACGGAGGGGUGCGAGCGUUAAUCGGAAUUACUGGGCGUAAAGCGCAUGCAGGCGGCCUGUUAAGUCAGAUGUGAAAGCCCGGGGGCUUAACCUCGGAAUUGCAUUUGAAACUGGCAGGCUAGAGUCUUGUAGAGGGGGUAGGAAUUUCAGGUGUAGCGGUGAAAUGCGUAGAGAUCUGAAGG